UUUUUAAUAUCUAUAAAACUUUUUUGUGAUUAAAAACUAUUAUUUGAGAUUUUUUUUUUUAAAUAUAUAUAUUUACAUUAUAUAAAUUUCUAUAUUUAUUAAACAUUUUUAAUGUUAUUAAAACAGCGACAUACCGAUGAUUUUUUCCCUCAGUAUAUCGCUGUUUUAUUGUAGUGUUAGGUCUAACCAACUUCUUUACAAUUGCAGCACCAACUUUGUUGCUCCUAAAAACUUCUUUGACUUGCUGGAUAGUUUUUUUUUUCCGGAAGUCUGUAUAACUACUGAUGUAGAAUACCUGUAAGCGGUUAUAUGUUCUCAUAAAGAAUAUUUGAUUGUGCUCUUCAAUCUUCAUUUGCACUUGAAUAUGUUCUUCUACCAGUCAGCUUUAUAGCUUUCUCCAAAGCUUCCCUCGAGUCUAGACGGACAUUAGCUUCCUUCUUAUUUGUGACCGAAUCGUCAAACAGUCCAAUUCCAACAACUCUCACGUUAUUACCUUUUAAAAACUUCACAACGUCAUCUCGUGUUGUUAAUAUAGCAAGUCAAGAUUUAAAGGAUCAUUGAAGGAUACAAUGCAACUAAUGGUAUCCCGAUUCCUUUUCCUCUUAUGCCUCUUAUCAUUCAUGGAUCUUCAGCUCCAUUCCUCCUUUUCACUUAGAACUUUAUCGUUUAUUAUAUUUUAUAUACCAAAUGAUUUACGAAAAACAGUUUAGGUAGAGGGUAAGAAUAUUUAUCUCACUAGUCACUAGUCUUUUAAAUAGAGAAAAUUACCUUUCGAGUCGCAUUUUGACUUUACAGCUACAUAAUAAGUCAUUUUCUACUCAACACAUACAUUUUAGUUGUUGAAUGUCCAUACUAUCCUGCAACCAACAUCUCUCUCGUUACUUUUUCUUGCUAAACUAAAUCUUUGGUUUUCAUUAUUGAUUAAAAUUUUUAAAUUAAACCCAAGGAAAUGUCUUUCCAAUUAUUUUCCUAAUUCAGAAACCCUAAUUUGGAAACCCUCCUCUCCAUCUACACACCGAUAGAGAAGAGAGAGAAAGAGAGAAUUCCUUCAACGGAGAAUCUGACUUUCGCUGCGAUUCCAGCAACUCGAGAUGAGUCUUGCUUGAGUCAACUCAGAACUAGAUUUUUGUACACUUUUUAUGUCAUAAGGCCAUAAGUAAACCAUGUUUUCAUCACCUGAUAAUCAGCUGCGUCACUGGAGAUUUUCCGGACGAUGGAGCCAUAGAAGCAUCUUCUUCUCCCUCUACUUCUAGUUCUUGGAAGUGACAAGCAAUGGUAUUAAAAGCAUAUGGUUUAGCUUUGAUUCGGUCCACAACUUCUCUGUAUUUUCAGCCGACGGUGGCUUAGCCGGAGGAGCAUCGCUGAUGAUGUUGCAGUUGGGUUCAGGUGAGGAAGGAGGUCACAUGGCUAGGUUAGGAGGAAGUUAGUUUCUUAACCAGAUGUUUCCGCUAGGUUUGAGUCUUAAACAAGAUGAAGGACAUGGCUUUCUUAGACCUGUCGGUGGUCAUGGGAGUGAGAAAAUUUUCUCUGAUGAUGUUAUGAAACCUGUAACUGUUUUUCAUGGGGAGCCAAUGCAACAGCCAGCUCCAUCAGCGUCACAUCAGCCUACAUCAAUCGAUCCUAGGGUUUGAGAAUACCAAAGAGGUAAAGCUUCGACUUUAGUAGAUUUUUUUCUCUGUUUGUAUUAUAAGAAUACCAAGAAUCUGAUUGUGAGUAUGUGUUAGGCUCCGGUAACAACGCUGAUAUUGAAACUUGUGUUGACUAUUAAUGUUUAUGUGCUGGUAAAACCACAAUGUGUACCAAUCAUGCUUAUUAUCAUCAGAAGAAAGUCUACGAACCAGCACAAUAUAUGUGGAUACUUUCAGGGCUGUUGCAAUCGAUCAGCAGAAACAGAAUGCCACCAAGACUAGAUUCCUUAGUAUAGAAGGCAUGAAGGUUUCUUAUCUUAGUAUCAGCUUUCUUCUUGCAUGUUUUAGUACCUUUGGUGCUUCUGUUUCCAAUAUAUAGUACGUGUUGGAAUGUGUAUAAAUCAAUGGAAUUUCCUUUGUGACGGUGAAGUCAAAGUACAACCAUAAAAAUUCA